CAUGCUCUUAGAGGCAUUGUAGGAGUGGCUGCUGUGUCACCUGUGUGUCCCUAGGUGGCAGAGAGGGGAGAGGCUACGUCUAUGCUCAGUGUUCUGACCUAUGGACAUCUGAAUGAUUAGUAGCUUGAGACU